rnacentral:rRNA from 1 species
GACGAACGCUGGCGGCGUGCUUAGCACAUGCAAGUCGAACGGAAAGGCCCUGCUUGCAGGGUACUCGAGUGGCGAACGGGUGAGUAACACGUGGGUGAUCUGCCCUGCACUUCGGGAUAAGCUUGGGAAACUGGGUCUAAUACCGGAUAGGAGCCAUCUUUAGUGUGGUGGUUGGAAAGUUUUUUCGGUGUAGGAUGAGCUCGCGGCCUAUCAGCUUGUUGGUGGGGUAAUGGCCUACCAAGGCGGCGACGGGUAGCCGGCCUGAGAGGGUGUACGGCCACAUUGGGACUGAGAUACGGCCCAGACUCCUACGGGAGGCAGCAGUGGGGAAUAUUGCACAAUGGGCGCAAGCCUGAUGCAGCGACGCCGCGUGGGGGAUGAAGGCCUUCGGGUUGUAAACUCCUUUCGCUAGGGACGAAGCUUUUUUGUGACGGUACCUAGAUAAGAAGCACCGGCUAACUACGUG